rnacentral:misc_RNA from 1 species
GUAAAAGUAAAUGUUCCCAAAAAUAAAUAAACUCAAUAUCUUCACUGUUGUACAGUAAUUUACUCCAAUGACAAAAUUAGUUGAAUCAUUCUGCAUUCUCUCAAAUUUGUACACACAUAACAGGCCAAAGCAUGUUAUGUGUCAAUCUUAAUUCCACAAGCUAAGAAAAACCAUAAUAACACUGAUCUUACUUCGGCUCUACCUUUGAAUUAGGAUAUGCUCCACUAUACACAAAGAGACUUUCAUCAGUAUAUGGAUGGUUCAUGCCUUUGUUUGGUCCUUCAUAAGUUGCUGAAGAAGAUGCAGAGUCUGCAUUCGGGUUCAGUCCCGCCAUCUCCAUGAUAUUUUCGAUCUCUUUCACCACUUCACUCAUUGAAGGUCUGUUGGCUCCUUCUUCUUCAACACAUUUGAGUGCUAAAUCCACAAACUUCUCUAAACUUCUAGGAGUUGCACCUGCGCGAACUGCAGGAUCCAAAAUGUCUUGAAGGUUAUACAUGUCUUUUGAUCUGUCCAUUGCAGUCUUCACUUCCCUGACAAUAUAUCUUCCUUUUUCAAUAGGAACUUUUCCUGUAACUAUCUCAAGCAGCACCACUCCGAAACUAUAAACAUCACUCUUCUCAGUCAGCUGGUUUGUCAUGUAAUAUUCAG